rnacentral:rRNA from 1 species
AGAGUUUGAUCAUGGCUCAGGACGAACGCUGGCGGCGGGCUUAACACAUGCAAGUCGAACGAUAAGCUCCAGCUUGCUGGAGUGGACAGUGGCGAACGGGUGAGUAACGCGUAGGCAACCUGCCCUUUAGUGGGGAAUAACCCCGGGAAACCGGAGCUAAUACCGCAUAAUAUCCUGGUACCGCAUGGCACCGGGAUCAAAGCCUUCGGGCGCUAUUGGAUGGGCCUGCGUCGGAUUAGGUAGUUGGUGAGGUAGAGGCUCACCAAGCCGACGAUCCGUAGCUGGUCUGAGAGGAUGAUCAGCCACACUGGCACUGAGACACGGGCCAGACUCCUACGGGAGGCAGCAGUGAGGAAUAUUGCGCAAUGGAGGAAACUCUGACGCAGCCACGCCGCGUGAAGGAUGACACCCCUAUGGGGCGUAAACUUCUUUUAUGAGAGAAGAAAACCUGACUCGGUCAGGUCUGACGGUAUCUUAUGAAUAAGCACCGGCUAACUCCGUGCCAGCAGCCGCGGUAAUACGGAGGGUGCAAGCGUUGUCCGGAAUCACUGGGUGUAAAGGGUGUGUAGGCGGGACCGUAAGUCAGAGGUGAAAUCCUGCAGCUCAACUGUAGAACUGCCUUUGAUACUGCGGCUCUUGAAUCUCGGAGAGGUCAUUAGAAUUCGUGGUGUAGCGGUGAAAUGCGUAGAUAUCACGAGGAAUACCAGAGGCGUAGGCGGAUGACUGGACGAGUAUUGACGCUGAGGCACGAAAGCGUGGGGAGCAACAGGAUUAGAUACCCUGGUAGUCCACGCUGUAAACGAUGAAUGCUCGGUGUUGCCCUGAUUUUUCGGGGCAGUGCCUAAGCUUAACGCGUUAAGCAUUCCCCCCUGGGGAGU